rnacentral:lncRNA from 1 species
AUAGUCGUCGUUAUAGCAGUAUAGUCAUCUUGUCUACCUUAUUUCAAUGAGGGCUACGCACAGCACAGGUGCGCGUGAGCGUGCAAGGAUUAAGAGGACGUCUCUCGUUGUUUGUACCUUCGCAAAAGAUGAGAGCAAGUCUCUCUAACUUUGCAAGUAGGGUGAAAGAAGGAGAGAGGGUUUAAGAUAGAUAGAUAGAGAGAGAGAGAGAGAGAACUUCGCUAUACUUCAGUUUCAGAUGUUCUCAACACGAUAAUCGCCAUCAAUGAACAACAACAAAAUUGUAGAAAAAGAUCGUGGCUGGUUAAUCUAGGAAAAAAGACCUAGGGAAAGAGAACCGAAGAAAUGUUUAUUGUUGAAAUCGAUCGGCCUCCUCGGCACCGCGUCAAAAUCGUAGAAGCGGAGGGGACGGGUCUAGGAUAUGAGAAUACGGUACUAGCCACCAGGAGAAAACACUGCGGCAAUCGAAACGAAAUACGGUCGAUCGAUGGAUGAAUCGAGCAACGUAAUUGAAAAUUGGACCCUUAAUCGUGACGUCACUCUUAUUCGCGACAUUCGAAAUCAUCUGUUCGCAGUUCUAUCACGGAAUUGGACAAUUGCGACAUAUUAAAAUUCGUUUUUUUCUUUUUUUUCUUAAGACUAUUAUUGAACCGAAUUUUAAUGUAACAAAAAAUGCAUUAAUACAGAAUUGCAUAUGAAAUAAAAAAUUAUGAUAGAACAA